rnacentral:rRNA from 1 species
CUGGUUGAUCCUGCCAGUAGUCAUAUGCUUGUCUCAAAGAUUAAGCCAUGCAUGUGUUAGUAUAAGUAUUGUACAGGAAACUGCGAAUGGCUCAUUAAAUCAGUUAUAAUUUAUUUGAUAAUCGAAAGUUACAUGGAUAACCGUGACAAAUUACAGCUAAUACAUGCAUUAAGACCUGGUCCAAGGUCGUAAUUAUUAGUAUUAAACCUCUGCCGCAAGGCGUGUGAUGAAUCAUAAUAAUAGAACGAAUCGCAGAAUUCUGCGAUAAAUCAUUCAAGUUUCUGCCCUAUCAGCUUUGGAUGGUAGUGUAUUGGACUACCAUGGCAGUCACGGGUAACGGAGAAUUAGGGUUCGAUUCCGGAGAGGGAGCCUGAGAAACGGCUACCACAUCUACGGAAGGCAGCAGGCGCGAAAAUUGCCCAAUCCCGACACGGGGAGGCAGUGACAAGAAAUAACAACUCUUGGAUUUCUAAGGAAGUGUAAUGAGGAUAAUUUACGACCCUUACCGAAAGCAAUUGGAGGGCAAGUCUGGUGCCAGCAGCCGCGGUAAUUCCAGCUCCAAUAGCAUAUAUUAAAGUUGUUGCAGUUAAAAAGCUCGUAGUUGAAGUUCUGGCUGUUCGAUCCUUGAGCUUCGUAGCCAAGGACUCGACAGUCAUCCGCUUGCAAAUAUAUGUUCGGCCUUUACCGGUCGGCUAUAUGAGUAAGCAUUUUACCUUGAGAAAAACAGAGUGUUCCAGGCAGGUAUGUCCGGAAUGCGUUAGCAUGGAAUAAUAGAAUAUGACUGAAGUCGACUUAUUGGUUUGAGGCUUUAGUAAUGAUUAAUAGGAACAGUCGGGGGCAUUGGUACUUGACAGUCAGAGGUGAAAUUCUAGGAUUUGUCAAAGACUAACAAAUGCGAAAGCAUUUGCCAAGGAUGUUUUCAUUAAUCAAGAACGAAAGUUAGGGGAUCAAAGACGAUCAGAUACCGUCCUAGUCUUAACUAUAAACUAUACCGACUCGGAUUCGGAUGAAUAAUAAAGUUCAUUCGGGACCGUAGGAGAAAUCAAAGUUUUUGGGUUCUGGGGGAAGUAUGGUCGCAAGGCUGAAACUUAAAGGAAUUGACGGUUUUGCACCACCAUGGAGUGGAGCUUGCGGCUUAAUUUGACUCAACACUGGGAAACUCAUCAGGGCAAGAAGAUUUUAGGAUUGACAGAUUGAGAGUUCUUUCUUGAUUGGUCUAGUGGUGGUGCAUGGCCGUUCUUAGUUGGUGGAGUGAUUUGUCUGGUUAAUUCCGUUAACGAACGAGACCUUAACCUGCUAACUAGUACUGGGAUUCCAAAUCGCAGUUACUUCUUAGAGGGACUAUGCGUGGUAAUCGCAUGGAAGUUUGAGGCAAUAACAGGUCUGUGAUGCCCUUAGAUGUCCUGAGCCGCACGCGUGCUACAAUGACACAUUCAACGAGUAUUUCCUGAUCCGAAAGGAUUUGGGCAAUCUUUUUAGUGUGUGUCGUGUUAGGGAUAGAUCUUUGUAAUUAUGGAUCUUGAACGAGGAAUUCCUAGUAAGCGCAAGUCAUCAGCUUGUGCUGAUUACGUCCCUGCAAAAUGUACACACCGCCCGUCGCUAUUGCCGAUUGAGUGUUCAGGUGAACCUUCUCGAUAGCGUCCGCGUUAGAAAUUAAGUAAACCUUUGCACUUAGAGGAAAUAAAAGUCGUAACAAGGUUUCCGUAGGUGAACCUGCAGAAGGAUCAA